AGUUGGGCUGGGAGCUGUAUCUACCUCCGAAGGACAUGGCAGCGGUGUACCAUGCUAUCAUGGAAGCAGGACAGGAUGAGGGAAUCGACAACUUUGAUGAACUUUGACACCAACCCUCUGGAAGCUGGUCUGGACUACUUCAUCAAUCUCAACAAGCCUGCAGAAUUCAUCGGUAAGACAGCACUGCAGGAGAUCAAAGCUAAAGGUCUGAAGAGGAAGCUGUCGACGGGACCAUCUGGCUCAACGGCAAGGUGGUUGGCAACACUACAUCAGGGACCUACAGCUACACCACCCAGAGGAGUCUGGCAUUUGCCUAUCUGCCAGUGGAGCUGUGUCCUGUGGGGCAGAGGGUGGAGGUGGAGAUGUUGGGGAGGACAUACCCUGCCAUGGUAGUCUAGGAGCCACUGGUCUUCACUUAACCCACCAAGAACCGGCUGCAGA